ensembl:lncRNA
GUGUUCAUGACUGCCCUCAUGAGUGAAAGAACUGCAGUGUUUGUGUUUUCUAAACUCAGGAGUCUUGGCUAAAGAAAGAGCGGCAGGGUGAUUUAAAGAAAUCCCCUGUCAUUUAAAUUGGUUCUUCGAACCUAGAGAUGGAAACACCAGAUACAUUUCUGUGACUCCAAUAAGGUCUGAUUGCUGCAUCCUGACGUCGUGGAAAAGCCAGAACCGAAGUCUGUCGACAGCCCUCUCUAGGUAGAGGUGAAAGCCCUGGGCGUAAAUUCGUAUCCAGGCCGGGCCUGGUCCACGGCGUUGGGGUCCAGCCAGAUGACCUGAACAACCAGCAAAAGACGACUGAGGGUGAGAAAACACUUUUUGGUUUUAAAACCGGAAGGGUUUAGAAGAAUGCGCAAAAUAGGUUGGAAGUAGCCGGAAUUACUUCAGGAUACGCGUAAAAUAGGUUGGAAGUAGCCGGAAUUACUUCAAAGAAGCACGUGAAAUAGGUUGAGUUCGCCGGAAGGAACUAAGUUUAGACUGGUUCUAGAGGUAGCCGUCAAAUACCUCGUGACAAAUAAGGUUUAAGUUCGCCACAAGGAACUGUGUUUAGACAGGUUUCAGAAGUAGCCGGAAUUACUUCGUGACAAAUUAGCGCGCAAAUGUCUAUCUGUGUGUAUGUAUAUGUGUUUUAUGUGUAUGUGUUUUGGAAGUAAGUUGAUUUUACAGCACAAUACGCUGCUGAACUACUUCCAUUGUUUGUUUUUUAUUGUUUUCUUUGUGUAUCCUGCAAAAAGCUCAAGUACUGGUGACGAAGGGAAAAGGUUGGGCUUUGUCUCAUAAAACUGACACCGGUCCAGGAAUAGCCCGGAGUAGGAGGCCGUGUCAGCAACCACCCCCGAGUCUAGUACCAGAGAAAGCUUUGCAGUUCUGUGAUAAUGGGGAAUCAGCCCACAAAACUCACUGUUGACGAGCAGUGGUUAGAAAAGAAAUGUCCAGGCGCCGGACAAAUUAGUGCAUAUAGAUGGAGAAAUCCAAAGAACACCUAAAUGUCCCACGUGGGAGGGAAAAUGUAUAACUAAAUUAUAAGAAACCCUGCAAGCAGAAAUAAAUACUGAAAAGGAAGCUAAAAAGAAAUCAAAGCAUACACAAGAGUUGUAUUUUAGAGCAUGGAAAGAGGAAUGAAGUGGAAUAAACAAAAGGUUAAAUUAAGGUUAACUUAAAUUAAAUUAGAGCUUAUCGCUACUAUAUUCAAACUAAUAAUAGGAAGCAUAGCAACCUGUAAAUUGGUAUUACCAAAUGAUACAAAAUUGGGUAGACAACCAUACCCAGAAUGAAUAGAAUGAAUGAAAGCAGAUAAUUCACACAAAAUAUAUCAAAUAAAAAAAGAGAGAUGCAUAAGGCAUAUUACGGCUGUGUCAUUGUUCAGCCAAAGAAAGAGUGUGAAAAUACAAAUGUCUCCAGCUUGGGAAGGUGUGAAGCUGCAGGUUCACACAGACCCGUGAUGGAUACAUAAUAAAAUAUAAACUAAUAUACUAUUGUAUAUUAAUAGUAAAGUAGUAAAGUAGUGUAUUGUAAUAUACUAUUGCUGUUAUAAUAAAGGAAAAACAAUACAAUGAUAACAUUAAUAAUGACAUAAUAUUAAUAAUAGACACCUCAGUCAGUUAUGAUGUGAGGUGGAUAAUUGUUAAAAGUAGUCUGAUUCAAGCUUAAGGUUUGCUCAAACUCAGUACAAUGAUAUAUGAGAUAACUAUUGUUUGCAAAUAUUGCUAAAUGCCUGUAAUUAAGAGGCUGGUUUUGCAUUAUGAGAGUAUGAAUACAGUUUGAACAUACUAGUGUGGAUGUAUAGUAAGUGACUGAAUUUUGAUAGAUGUAUAUAUCUUGAGCCAUAAAGGCUGGUGUGUUUUAUUUUUUUAGUUAUGUGUGUGUGGGGAGAAGCUGUGAGGACGAUGAGAGGUUUCAGUUUUCCCCUUCUCAGUUUUCCUUUUCUUUUUUCUUUUGACUUGCUCUUUCUGAUCAUGGAAGGCAUGUCCAAAAUACUCGUAUGAAAGCGUAUUUUGUGUGAUUUUAACUGUGUGAAUGCUGUCAGUAUUUGAUUUAAGUGACUCUGCAUGAUUUGUCUGAGUGUAAAAUGGAAGUUUGAGAGAGAAAAGGCAGUGCGUGUGAGACGAGUCAUGGCGUCUGAAAGAGGUUAGAGCAUUUCAAAGGGGUGUAUGAAAUAAAGGAGUGUGAAAUAUAUUUCUUUUGUGAUGUAAAAUAGGAGGUUUAAAGUUUGCAAGUGCUUUUAAUUCAAGAAACGCAUGAGUGAGGUUAUGAUGUGUGGAAGAGCUCGGUUUAAAUGUGUGUGAGUGAAAUGAAGGUGUAUUGUUUUUAGACUAAGAUUUAGUAGAAUAAAAGAGGGCCUGUAGACUAUAAAUACAAAGAAAAAAACAAAGGAGUUAGAUUAGUUUGAAGAACAGGAAAUAUGGCUCUGUGUACCGGGGCUGCAGCGACAGGAAAUAGUGAACAGGAACUUUGCAUGCCCAUAUAUGGGAACUGAGUGUGUAAAGAAAGAACACAGAGAGACAGACGAGGCCCAUGGAGCAAAUGAAGCCUUUAAGAAAAAUGAAUAUAUUACUAAUUGUAUGCUUUAGUGUCUCAAUACAGGUGGACUCUCUCAACAUUGCAACCUUGAGUUCAGCAGCAGAAAAGUAGAUUAAAAGAAUUGGGAGAAUAAGCCAGUUUUUGGCUCGAAAUUGUGCGGCUGGAUCUCUCACUUUGUCCCUGAAGCGGAGAAGAAGUUCAAAGGACAGUCAAUCGCCUGAUGAAGACCGACAGAACAUCGUGGACUUGAAUACAGCAGGCAAACGACAGUGCCACUGAUCCAUUAACACUGAUGACGACUGACGACCAGCAGCAGCAUGUAAGACUAAUGCAACAUGUACUGUGAAAAUACAGGCUGGGCAGUUGAACAGUGGGAUAAAGAAUUGUGGAAGAGCACUGGACAUUGAGUGAUAUUUUGCCAUGCUGGGCAGUUGAACAGUGGGAUAAAGAAUUGUGGAAGAGCACUGGACAUU